rnacentral:lncRNA from 1 species
UCUCAUUUUUCCCGGGCUUUCGGUCAGCGUUUACCUUUUCUCGCGGGUUUGGGCGCGCAUCGAACUCUGAAGGGUCGGGAAGGCCUGUCGUUGGAAUGUGGUUGAGUUCCAGGGAGUGUACAGGCUGGAGGAUGGGACAAGACCUAUCUCUGUAUCGAUCAAGCACGGCGUUGGUGUUCCAGCUCAUCACCGAUCCUAAGGAAUUCAAGUGCCUCCCAGGAUGAAUACAGGUUGUCUUGAUGGUGAUACAUUCAUCUGUCUUAAGAUCCCUGCUGAUCUGCUCAUGGUCAAACUCAUGGAAAGAGUUGAGAGUGGUGAGUACUUGUAACCUUGGUUAUAACUUGUCUCCAGUGCCAGUGAGGAGAGCAAGCAUCCUGUCUUAACCCCUGUCCUAGCCCCAGAGCCAGUAAUGGUGAACCCACUGGGGCUAACAGGGAGAGAGGAUGAAAACAUGUUCCGUAAGGAACUGUCUGAGGUACAGCAACUGCCAAUGGGUAGCAUUUGUUUAGCUUCCCUUGGCUUACAUAUUAGCUGGGAUCCUUUUGGUUUUUUAAGGUACUCUACUGAUUUCAUGAUCUUCUCAUUCAGGGGCACCUUGUUCCUGCAUCCUCAAAGGAGCAUCUUGUUCCUCUAUUUAAGCUUCCAGAGUUAAAAGGUUAGUUGAUUAAUGUCACCAUAAUAUAUGCCACCAAGUAAGCAGUUUCUGUGAUGAAUCAAACUAGCUCACUAUGAACUAACAAUGAAAAGAUAUGAACACCUGAGAAACUGGAGAACAGAGCAGUGGGAUACUGUCUGCUAGGAACUUAAUAUCACUUACAGUUUUGUCCUUUCCUAGGUACCUGUACCAUUUAGCGGCUUGUUCACUCAAAGGUGAGUGAUUUAUAUGUUGGCACAUACAGUGUACUGAGGGAGAAAAUGCCUUUUUAGGCAUCUACACAUGAUGACUUACAUGGAAUCUCGUUCGGCUGAUGAUUUGCUGUUGAGACUCGGAAAUCUGAUUUUUUUUUUCUUUUAAGAACUUAAGUGGGAACAAAUUUUAAUGUAGGAAGUAAGCAUUACUGACUCAUUCUUGUUUUGUUUUAGAUCCAUCUUUUCUGGAGCCUGAGGAUGAUUGGAGGUGAAAGGUGUAAGCCAUACUCUGCUCAACUCCAGUCUGAAACUAAGGUUAAAAGAACACGUACUUAACACACGGGUAAGUAAGUAUCCAUUCACGUACUUGUGUUAAAUAUCAGACUAACUAUAUAAAUACAAAAGUACAUUAGAGCAGCGCUUUUAGUGUUAACUGGUUGAAAGGAUAGUAUGUUCUAAGUCCGUUUUAGUAACUAAGUCCGUUUUAGUAAGAACCCUAAACUGUUCUUUUUCUCUGCAGGAAUCCAACUCUUGGAGGACAUCAGAAGUGGAAUUUUCUUAUACAACCUACCUAUUCAAAUUAGCAUAUAAUCUUUCUAGCCUUUCUAAAUAAAUAAAGGGAUUUUUUUGUA